UGGAAGUAAAGUCGUAACAAGGUUUCCGUAGGUGAACCUGCGGAAGGAUCAUUAAUAAAUUUUUUUUUGAAAUAAAAAAAGAAUAAUAAUCAUCCUACCCUUUGUGAAUUUGUUUUGUUGAAUAAUUUUUUAAAAUUAUUUAUUGUCUAUCCAAGUUGGAAAGUUGUAAAAGACUAGAGGACUUGGAGCGGCAUAAAUAAAUUUAAAGACUUUUUUCUAAAAUUAAACUUUUUGUAUUCAUUUGUCUAAAGUAAUUUUUAUAAUAUAUAAAAACAACUUUUGACAAUGGAUCUCUUGGUUCUCGCAACGAUGAAGAACGCAACAAAAUGCGAUAAGUAAUGUGAAUUGCAGAAUACGUGAAUCAUCGAAUCUUCGAACGCAUAUUGCACUUUUUUAGUUUACUAAAAAGUAUGUCUGUUUGAGUAUCAGUAAAAUAUUCUCAUAAAAUUUUUUAAUUUUAUGGUUAUGAGUGUUUUACAACGAUAAACAAGUUGUUUCACUUUAAAUUGAAUUUUUUUGAAGAAAUUCUUUAAUUCAAAUUAAAUUUGGAUAAAAUUUUCCCGUAAAAGGGAAUAACUAUACAAGUUUAAUAAGAAUUUAGUGAUUUCUUUUAUGAAAAGGAAAUUUAUUAAAUAACUUGAUCUCAAAUCAGAUAAGAGUACCCGCUGAACUUAAGCAUAUCAAUAAGCGGAGGAAAAGAAACUAACAAGGAUUCCCCUAGUAACGGCGAGUGAAGCGGGAAGAGCUCAAAUUUGAAAUCUUAAAGGGUUUCCCUUUACGAAUUGUAGUUUAAAGAAGUGUUUUCUGUUGAGGUUUUGGUAAAAGUUCUUUGGAAUAGGACAUCAUAGAGGGUGAGAAUCCCGUAUUUGACCUUUACUUUCAACUUUGUGAUACACUUUCAAAGAGUCGGAUUGUUUGGGAAUGCAGUCCAAAAUGGGUGGUAAAUUUCAUCUAAAGCUAAAUAUUGGCGAGAGACCGAUAGCGAACAAGUACCGUGAGGGAAAGAUGAAAAGAACUUUGAAAAAAGAGUUAAACAGUACGUGAAAUUGUCAAAAGGGAAGCGUUUGACACCAGUGUUGUUUUUCUGAAAAUCAAUUAAAGAACUGUUUAUGCUAAGUUGUUUAGACUUUAUCAGCUAACUGUUUAGUUUUGAGCUUUUCAUUAAUGCACUUUUCAGUUAACAAGUCAACAUCAAUUUCUUUUGCUGUAAAAAAGCUUGAGGAAGGUGGCUUGAGAUUCGUCUUAAGUGUUUAUAGCCUCUUGCCUAUGCAGUCGGAGAGAUUGAGGUCUGCAGCGUAGAUCCUUCGGGCUAAAUGCAUUUGUGCUAAGUUAUAGCAUUUUAUAGACAACUUGUUGACUAUGAUUUGUCUUGUAGCUUACUCGCUUAUGUUAUUUUACCUACGCUUAGGAUGU
rnacentral:misc_RNA from 1 species